AAUCAUCAGGUUUUUCAGUGGAAGAGGUAGCUGGUUUUGCAGCUAUGAAGAUGACAUCAUCUUCCAAAUCUCCUGGUGACUUUGCAUCAUGAUACUCCAAAGUAGUUUGGUCUGACCUGGCAGAGAAGUUACUGUUUUCUUUGCUGACAUCCACUGUCCCCAAACCAUCUCCAGACCAGGAGUCCUCCACCACUCCAUGAUGAUGCUCAGAUGAAGCUCCAGAUACUGCUUUACCAUCUUCUGUUAUCUAUUUAGAAGAAAAGAAGUUUCACUACAAGUAACAUGCACAUGCUUCUUCUCAAAGCUAUAGGACAACUAAUACUGAUAGUUUAGGUUCUACAAGCAUCAUCUUAAGCAAGGGACUACAAAAUGAAUUCCCAUUCUAGCACAUGACCUUGGGGAAUUAAGAUGAAGUGGGUUUUGGUAAGGUCUUGUUUCUGCUGUCAUCUCAAGGCUAUUUAUUUUCAAGCUUUUUCAACAUGCAUUCACAUCUGAAAUACUUUAGCAUUCACUAUGCCUGUAGUUUGGAACAAAUAAAUUAAUAUGGCCACA